CAAUCACCCAGGACCACAAAAUAUGUGGAAAAGCCUUUUGCCAAAUCCACUUGACAAAGGAGUCAAAGGACCCUAAGGUGAGAAAGCGAAGAUAGAGGCUCAAACAGGAAUCAUCCCUUUGACUACCUGUCCAGCUAUUUUCAGCAAUGACUAGUGAUUGAGCACGAACCAAGCCCACAGAAGUCUGUUCUGAAUCAGACCCUCUUGAAGGGUUUCCUUGAAGCUCUCUGACUCAACCCACGGCCUGGUCACCACCGCCACAGCUCAGAUUUAAUGCCUGAGCCCCCCAGACUUUUAGAUCAUUGGGUAAUGAAUUGCAGCUAAGGACAACUAUUGAAGUCAUCAAAUUAUAUAACAAUCAAAGUUAUGAAAUUGUAUAAAGUUAUGUUGCCGUUUAA